GAUGAACGCUGGCGGCGUGCCUAAUACAUGCAAGUCGAGCGAACAGACGAGGAGCUUGCUCCUCUGACGUUAGCGGCGGACGGGAGAGUAACACGUGUAUAACCUACCUAUAAGACUGGGAUAACUUCGGGAAACAGGCGCUAAUACCGGAUAAUAUAUUGAACCGCAUUGUUCAAUAGUGAAAUACGGUUUUUCUGUCACUUAUAGAUUGAUCCGCGCCGCAUUAGCUAGUUGGUAAGGUAACGGCUUACCAAGGCAACGAUGCGUAGCCGACCUGAGAGAGAGGUCGGCCAGAUGGGAAGGGAGAAACGGUCCAGACGCCGAGGGGAGGCCGCAGUAGGGAAUCUUACGCAAGGGGGGAAAGCCUGACGGAGCAACGCCGCGUGAGUGAUGAAGGUGUUCGGAUCGUAAAACGCUGUUAUGAGUGAAGAACAAAUGUGUAAGUAACUAUGCACGUCUUGACGGUACCGAAUCAGAAAGCCACGGCUAACUACGUG
rnacentral:rRNA from 1 species